CACACCCCUGCCCCGCCUCCUCGCCGUAGGAAACUCCGGGACCCUGCAAGGGGUGACUCACCCGUGAUUCAACCGCGCCGCGAGCGCCACGCUGCCCUCGCGCCGCGGGCAGGCCCAGGUGCUGCGGGGGCCCAGGUGUCCCCGGGCCCCCCAGCCCUCCCGGCCACCCAGGCCCGCCGCCGGGGUGGGGCUCAGAUUUACGGAGAAGAGCGAGGUGCCUCCGAAGGAGUUGUCAAGUUGGAGGAAAGGGAUCUAACCUUCUGUUUGGUGAUACAGUGUUGUCCGCCUGGUGGGAGGGGCAGUAUUUACAACAUUUAAUAGAAAGUACGGUCUCUGGGCUCCGCUCGGGGAGCGGAGGGCAUUUGCCCACCUGGGCUGCAGUUGGGCUCUGCAGCCAGGUAACGGUGUGGCGGCCAGCGGGCCCAGCCUCGGCUUCCUCCUCUCCCCCGCGGGGCAGGAUGCCUGGCCCUCCCACCUCACCCGCCCUCAGCGCGGUCGCAUUGUGUAAAGGUGGCGCAAACGCAGGUGGGCUGUGGGUAGGAACAGCCCACCAGUCUGAACGUCAGUUGGCCCAGGCGCCCCCCGGUCACACUCGCACACUCGGGACAGUGACUGAGGAGGGACAGCCUCGAACCUGGCAGUUUGCCUCUGGGAGAAUUCCAGCGUGACAUCUGCAGCCCUGUGGUUUCAGAAAGGAUGGUUCUCACAUUGAGGAAGACAUCUGUGGGACUGAGUGAGUUCCACUCGAGUGUGGAGAAACCAAAAAUGAAAUUGAAAAAUGCUGGGCAGUGGCCCCGUUAGAGGAUGCUCUGAGGGCAGAGUACAGCCCCGGGCAGAAAGAAGAGGAUGGUUGACUUGUGCUGCUUGUGGAGACUCCGGGCGGGUGGUGAUCCAUCCAGCACGAAGCCUAUUCAUGCUGAUGCCAAGCCAAGCGGUACUUGGGAUUCCUUUUGCGACUGCUUUCAUACAUAGCGUGCGCCCGCAUCUUCCUGGGAAAUGCGGGGAGAACGGUGCGGCCCCUCACGGCAAGGUCCCCCUUAGCCCCGCGAGUAACAAAAGGUCCCAAGGGCCGAGACAAGUGGCGCCCAACGUGGGGCCCGAGGUAUACAGACCUUUGUCGAGUGACGCCGUGGUGCGCUCUUCGGCUGAAGAAAACCCUACAGAGACCCUCGUUCUGCCGCUCACAGAGUCGACGUCUGAUCUUACCUGUUAUCCCUGUCUCAGCAUUCCAGAAUGAACUACAGGAAUAACAGGCGCUACCUGUGUGCGCUGGCCAGACGCAGCGCAG